UAUAGCGACAUCUAUCGUUUAAAACAUGCAGCCACUCAGCUCUGUGUACUCAUUCACCAUGCUGUGCGUGUCUCCUGCUGUGGGCUGCCAGAAGUGAAAACCAUGGAGGAGAGAGAGGAGGGAGACACUCACCGGCAGAUGAAGUAUUUCCCUCUUCUGUGGCCUCUCCCUAGGCCCCGCUCUCACAGUGACAUCUCGGGCUUUCGCUCCAGGGUGCUCACCAGGCUCCGGGGAGCUCGCUCAGUUACAAGCCCAUGACAAAGGUCUUCAAAGUUUUCUGAAUAAUUCUGUAGUACACUAAUAGAAAUAUCUUUAUUUUAAAUAGAAUAUUUUAAGAGAGCAUAUCAAACUGUAAUAAGUUGGAUUAAUAUUAGUCUGUGCACUUUAUUCCAUGGAGUCUUUGAUAAAGUUAACUCUUUUUUCAAACAUGAUGAAAAAUAGUAGUUAAAGUUCAUCAUAGAAGCUUCAAAUAUCCCAUGUUCUAUAAAAUGCAGCCACAGUCCAUGCAACACAAGCUGCCAAAAGCUAAUUUCUACAUUCACAGCAGUGUUUAACUUAUACUGAGUCAUCUCUUUGCACUACACGCCAGUAUUUUACUCAGUGCAAGUAUGUUGAAUGGGCUGGCACUCUUUGUGACAUGGUUGCAGUUGUGCACUUCAUUCUUGUUUCAUAUCUGUAGAGUAUAAGUUGGUUUUAUUUAGUCUCAUUUGGUUCUGUCAUGUUUUCUGGAUGAAUGACCCUGAAGGAGCAUUUUUUUGUCACUAGGAACAGAAACAGUAUGUGUGACUGAGGUGUGACUUUACUUUACUAAUAUUACACUUAUUACUGAAAUUGAAAUGUGCAUCUAGUGGUUUGUGAAUCAGUACUCAGAGUGAAAUAAAAAAUUAUGACACUUUCACUGAAA